CGAGCGCAGCGAGAGAACGUUGCGUUAGCAACGGCCCGCAGGGCGAGCCACGCAGUGGCGAGUCAUCCUCUAUCACCGGCAG
rnacentral:sRNA from 1 species